UGUGGCAAUAGUUCAGUCAGCAGAGCAUGAGAAUCUUAAUCUUGGGGUCGUGGGUUCGAGCCCCACAUUGUGCAA